UACGUAGGGUGCGAGCGUUAAUCGGAAUUACUGGGCGUAAAGCGUGCGCAGGCGGUUAUGUAAGACAGUUGUGAAAUCCCCGGGCUCAACCUGGGAAUUGCAUCUGUGACUGCAUAGCUAGAGUACGGUAGAGGGGGGGAUGGAAUUCCGCGUGUAGCAGUGAAAUGCGUAGAUAUGCGGAGGAACACCGAUGGCGAAGGCAAUCCCCCUGGACCUGUACUGACGCUCAUGCACGAAAGCGUGGGGAGCAAACAGG
rnacentral:rRNA from 1 species